GACGAACGCUGGCGGCGUGCUUAACACAUGCAAGUCGAACGGAAAGGCCCCUUUGGGGGUACUCGAGUGGCGAACGGGUGAGUAACACGUGAGUAACCUGCCCUUGACUUCGGGAUAACUUCAGGAAACUGGGGCUAAUACCGGAUAGGAAUCCUUGCUGCAUGGUGGGGGUUGGAAAGCUUCGGCGGGUUUGGAUGGACUCGCGGCUUAUCAGCUUGUUGGUGGGGUAGUGGCUUACCAAGGCUUUGACGGGUAGCCGGCCUGAGAGGGCGACCGGCCACAUUGGGACUGAGAGACGGCCCAGACUCCUACGGGAGGCAGCAGUGGGGAAUAUUGCACAAUGGGCGGAAGCCGGAUGCAGCAACGCCGCGGGCGGGAUGACGGCCUUCGGGUUGUAAACCGCUUUCAGCAGGGGCGAAGCUUGUGGUGACGGUACCUGCAGAAGAAGCACCGGCUAACUACGUG
rnacentral:rRNA from 1 species